rnacentral:tRNA from 1 species
GGGGUUGUGGCUCAGUGGUACAGCACUUGCCUAGCAUGUAUGAGGCACUGGGUUUGAUUCUCAGCACCGCA